UACGGGGGGAGCAAGCGUUGUUCGGAUUUACUGGGCGUAAAGGGCGCGUAGGCGGCCACCGCAAGUCACUUGUGAAAUCUCCGGGCUUAACCCGGAAAGGUCAACUGAUACUGCGGGGCUAGAGUGCAGAAGGGGCAACUGGAAUUCUCGGUGUAGCGGUGAAAUGCGUAGAUAUCGAGAGGAACACCCGUGGCGAAGGCGGCUCUCUGGGACGGUACUGACGCUGAGACGCGAAAGCGUGGGGAGCGAACAGG
rnacentral:rRNA from 1 species